GUAACGGCGAUACGUCUCGGGGAGGUGUGUAGCAACCUUUGAUCCGGGAAUUUCCGAAUGGGGAAACCUAAUAUGACAAAAUCAUAUUCCUCUAGGCCCAUGGCUUAGAGAGCAAACCCGCUGAAGUGAA
rnacentral:misc_RNA from 1 species